UGCCAGCAGCCGCGGUAAAACGUAGGACGCAAGCGUAUUCCGGAAUUACUGGGCGUAAAGCGCGCGCAGGCGGGCCAGCAAGUCAUGUGUGAAAGCUCCCGGCUAAACUGGGAGAGGUCAGAUGAUACUGCUGGUCUUGAGGAUGUCAGAGGCGUGUGGAAUUCCGCGUGUAGUGGUGAAAUGCGUAGAUAUGCGGAGGAACACCAGUGGCGAAGGCGGCACGCUGGGACACACCUGACGCUGAGGCGCGGAAGCAUGGGUAGCGAACGGGAUUAGAAACCCCGGUAGUCCAUGCCGUAAACGAUGUACACUAGACGUUCGUGCAGCUUCGGUUGUGUGAGUGUCGAAGCCAACGCGCUAAGUGUACCGCCUGGGGAGUACGGUCGCAAGGCUAAAACUCAAAGGAAUUGACGGGGGCCCGCACAAGCAGCGGAGCGUGUGGUUUAAUUCGAGGCUACGCGAAAAACCUUACCUGGGUUUGACAUCAAUGCGAACAAAAGCGAAAGCUGGCGGUCCUUCGGGCGCAUUGACAGGUGCUGCAUGGCUGUCGUCAGCUCGUGUCGUGAGAUGUUCGGUUAAGUCCGAAAACGAGCGCAACCCCUAGGUUUAGUUACAAGUGUCUAGACCGACUGCCUGCGGCAAGCAGGAGGAAGGUGGGGAUGACGUCAAGUCAGCAUGGCCUUUAUGUCCAGGGCUACACACACGCUACAAUGGCGCGUACAAUGGGUCGCGAACCCGCGAGGGGGAGCCAAUCCUACAAAGCGCGUCGUAGUUCGGAUUGUAGGCUGCAACUCGCCUGCAUGAAGUCGGAGUUGCU
rnacentral:rRNA from 1 species